rnacentral:tRNA from 1 species
GGGUUGGGGCUCAGUGGUAGAGCGCACACCUUGCACGUAUGAGGCACUGGGUUCCAUCCUCAGCAUCACA